UACGUAGGGGGCGAGCGUUGUCCGGAAUUAUUGGGCGUAAAGGGCUCGUAGGCGGUUUGUCACGUCGGGAGUGAAAACUCGGGGCUUAACCCCGAGCCUGCUUCCGAUACGGGCUGACUAGAGGUAUGCAGGGGAGAACGGAAUUCCUGGUGUAGCGGUGAAAUGCGCAGAUAUCAGGAGGAACACCGGUGGCGAAGGCGGUUCUCUGGGCAUUACCUGACGCUGAGGAGCGAAAGUGUGGGGAGCGAACAGG
rnacentral:rRNA from 1 species